rnacentral:rRNA from 1 species
CCUACGGGGGGCAGCAGUGAGGAAUAUUGGUCAAUGGCCGAGAGGCUGAACCAGCCAAGUCGCGUGAGGGAUGACGGCCCUACGGGUUGUAAACCUCUUUUGUCGGGGAGCAAAGAGAGUCACGUGUGGCUCAUUGAGAGUACCCGAAGAAAAAGCAUCGGCUAACUCCGUGCCAGCAGCCGCGGUAAUACGUAGGGAGCGAGCGUUAUCCGGAAUUAUUGGGCGUAAAGGGUGCGUAGAUGGCAUAGUAAGUCUUUUGUAAAAAUGCUGGGCUCAACCCAGUAGGGCAAAAGAUACUGCAAAGCUAGAGUAUGACAGAGGCAAGUGGAACUACAUGUGUAGCGGUAAAAUGCGUAAAUAUAUGUAAGAACACCAGUGGCGAAGGCGGCUUGCUGGGUCGAUACUGACAUUGAGGCACGAAAGCGUGGGGAGCAAACAGGAUUAGAUACCCUGGUAGUC